UACGUAGGCAGCAAGCGUUGUUCGGAGUUACUGGGCGUAAAGGGCUCGUAGGCGGCCAACUAAGUCAGACGUGAAAUCCCUCGGCUUAACCGGGGAACUGCGUCUGAUACUGGAUGGCUCGAGUUUUGGGAGAGGGAUGCGGAAUUCCAGGUGUAGCGGUGAAAUGCGUAGAUAUCUGGAGGAACACCGGUGGCGAAGGCGGCAUCCUGGACCAACACUGACGCUGAUGAGCGAAAGCCAGGGGGAGCAAAGCGGG
rnacentral:rRNA from 1 species